UCUUUCCUUUAUUAGGUAAGGAAAUUGUCACCAAGAAAGGCCCGGUGAUUUGCCCGUCUCACAGUUAGUUAAUGACAGAAACCGAACCUCUGGUCUCGUAAGCUGCAGUCAUGUAUCCCACGUAUUUUUCAAGGGUUCCGACUCCAGGAUCACAACGGACAGAACACCAAGCGGUUCAUAGAGUGUGAUCUCUGCCACUCCGGGAGAGCAUCGCGUUGAAGGUCACUCCUUGUCUUGCUUCUGAAGAUGCCAUUAGGGACUGCUGAUAACUGAUCGCAGGUGCGCCGAGAACCUCUGCAUCGCCUCAUGCGAUUGGUUGACUCCACUUCAAACGUGCUAUAUACAUCGCACCUGUUUCCAGUCCAGCUGAACACGCUUUGCGUUCUCAUUUUUAACGUCUUAGAAGAACAAGCUCGUGGUUACCAUAGCAACUGUCCGGCGGCGACUUCUGCUUGGAGAUGAGAAUGCCAACAACAAUACUGCUUCUUUUUCUUGAUCUAGACUAGCCUUGCGGGUGGGCCCAGGCACGGGUGAUUUUCUCUUAUAAGCUUCUCAGAUGAUAAUGUACGGCCAGUGUUAGGAGAUCUGAUACAGCCUUUUAAAUUCUUAUUAAGACUGGUCUGGCCAAGAGUUCAGCCAGUUCAUUCAAUCUCAUGCCUCCUGUUUCACUUCCGAACUUCCCAUAAGUGCCUACCUGGUGACUUAUUUAAAACCCUCUUCUCAAAGGAAAGGAUCUGGUCCACUCUGGCACAGUAUGUGAUUUCUGGCUUUCCGAGAUCACUCAAGCAGUAAUAUUCACACUCAUGGAAAAAUGAUCAGCUCAGUUCGACCACCCCAAAAGAGGAAAAGAGGCUGGAAUGUAGUCAAAGAAAGCAAGAUCACACAGGGCUGGAAAGUCAGGCCGACAAGUUCAAAGUCAACUCCACAGGCUUUGAGAAAGAGUUCUUGGAGAUUCAAGUACUUUGUUGAUUAACAGAAAAGACAGUACAAAGAGCCAUGAGACCCAGCUUUUGCUUCCAUGGAUCAACAUAUUUCAAUUCAAAAUACUGACUGAGUCCAGGGUAGGGAAUUUAGGAAAGAAUUAUGUACAAACAACCAUCAUUAGAAGAGUUAAAUAGAAAGAGACAAACAUAGGAAUGAUAAGCCAACAGAGGCCCCAGGGAGAAGGUAAUGUGUGAGUUAAGCCUUGAAGAAGUAGGAUCACAUCCUGGGAAUGCUGGGGCACCAUUUUCUUCAGUUUCAUUUGACUCUGGACAUUGUGACUGAAAAUGUGCCCUAAGAAGUCCAUUUUGUCUGGAUGACAUACUUGAAAGGAGAAAACCACAAUGUUCAUUUACUUCACAAAUAAAGACAACAUUCACUUAUUUUCACCGAGUUUGCUAAGCUAUUAACGGACUCAAGAUACUCUUUGAUUCUGACUCGGGCUCAGUGCACUAUUUUUCCCCAUUUAGCCAGCGAUGAUCAUUUCAACUUGCUGUGGACAAGCACGACGCUAGGAGACAGGAACAGACAUGGAAGAACACACAGUAAGACAUGGCCUCUCUGAUCACCGAGUGAGGAAUAAUACGGCUACAGAGAGAGAACUGCAAAACGAUGUAGUAAAUGGCAUCAUGGGAAUGGUCAGGGAUAGCCAUGGGCACAAAGGGUGAUCGACUCUCCCCAGGGAUGUUGGGGAUGGUUCUAAGCGGGGGUAACACCUGAGCCCCUUCUCCAAGGCUGAGAGGAGAUCACCAGGCAGCAAGGA